AGGUGGAAACGCAGGACAAAGAGCCCAGCCCUCGUUUCCCGUUCGCUGCCUUCGUCCCCGAUUCCUCUCCCUCUUCCUCAUCUGCCGCCGCCGCCACUCACCGAGCCCUCCGCCACAGCCCAGGCACAACCGCCGCACUCUCCAAGAGCGAACUGCAGGGCGCAUGCCACAUCGAUCGAUUUUACCAUGCUAAAAUAAAAAUAAUUACUCCCUCCUCAUUCGCCCUCUCCCUCGUUUUCUCCUCCCGGCGGCUAGGGUUAGCGCGGCCGCCGCCCCAUCCCUGCUCGCCGCCGCCUCUGCUCCAUCGUCCCAUCCCAUCACUUCCGACGUCGGCCACUGGAGAAGGCGCCCCCCUGAGACCCUCUACUUCCCCAAGCCUUAUAUCUUCGAGUUCCAGCCGGCCACCAUGGUGGUUGCAGAGGACGGGAGCAAGGGGAUGGCAUCGAGGGGCUCUGCCCACUUCUUCGUGCGCGGCCGCCGAUGCAGCUCCACCUCCAUCCCCACGCUUGCAGCCGUGGUGGUUCACGGUGCCGUCGCCGUCUUACUUGGCAGGAGCAACGCGCUCGAUGCUACUCCGAUGUUGCCGUCAAGCGCUGCUUCGCCUUGCUUGUCCCAACUCAGCCAUCGCUGGAGGCCUGCACUUCUGUAGCCAUCUUGUUUACGACUGAUUUUGUUUCUCUAUGCCUACAAGGUGUUCUGCGUCCACUUCCACGGCCCCAACAUAGCAUGGGAACAUGAGCAAUUCUUGAGGUUUAGGGUGACUGUACUAAGUCUAUGGAAUUGUCCACACCUCCUGAAUUUUUGGAAAGUGCUGGUUGUUUGUAUGACAAUAGGAUUCCAGAUUCAGUGAUUCGUGGUUUUACUCCUUCUGGUGUCCUCUAACUGGCAUCCAUUGAGCUGCUCCGACAUCGACUGCAGGAAAAAAGUUUCAAGAGGUUAAGAAAGCUUAUAUGAGGUACUUGAUGUUUGUUCAGCAUGGAUGCUCAAUCUGAGGAUGUACAACUUUCAAGGCGCACGACAAUUUUGAUCAAUUAUCCGCGUCAACACGGAAAGGCGGCGGAGCGAUCUGGAUAAUAUGCCUGGUGUCGGUUUUCUCGCCAUGCUGCGACCAGCGCCUCUGCAGUGGGAAAGCACACAUGUACCUACUUAUGGUACUCUUAACUGAAGCCACCAUUGAACCUUAAAUGGUAUCUGGAUGUUUCUAGCCAGAAGACUCGCAACCUCUACUUAUACAAUGGAUUGACUUUGUUUGUCGGAUGGCUGGCCCUUAUCGUCAUGUCAAUCGAACUCUAAUUGAGGGAAUGGCAGCAAAGGAGAUGUUUCACAAGCACCGACAAAACAUGGAGAUUAUGAUUUGGAAGUAGUCGGGGGUCUAGUCAUGGUACGUCGACAGCAAGAAGACGGAUAUUCUUUUUCUGUAAAACAUGACCCUUUGAUUGAUUUGGGUUCACUACUAAACUUUCUAGUGCUUCCUCAUACGACUACCACCUCCGAUUAAUCUCCUUUGGAUUCAGUUAUGUACUUUUGUUUGUUUCCAACUAUUUUUCACUCGGGUUUUUGUGGGUGUUGGUAGCUGGAAUGCAGAGCAUGAAGUGGUGUAAGGUGGUGUUGAUGUGGGACAUUGCAGCUGCUCCCAGAUCAAUUCAAUGUCCAUUUGAAUAUUUUAGUUCCUUUAUGCCUUUGAUUAUAUAUUUUACUGAAUAAUGGGGUUAUACUUGUGGAGAGUACCUGUUUAUAUUCGUUAUGACUAUUCACCUACAAGAGGAGGCAAUUCA